AAUGAACGCUGGCGGCAUGCCUUACACAUGCAAGUCGAACGGGUGUAGCAAUACAUCAGUGGCGCACGGGUGAGUAACGCGUGGGAACGUGCCCUUCAGUACGGGACAACGUCGGGAAACUGACGCUAAUACCGUAUAAUAUCUCCGGAUCAAAGAUUUAUCGCUGAAGGAUCGGCCCGCGUCUGAUUAGUUUGUUGGUGAGGUAACGGCUCACCAAGACUACGAUCAGUAGCUGGUCUGAGAGGAUGAUCAGCCACACUGGGACUGAGACACGGCCCAGACUCCUACGGGAGGCAGCAGUUAGGAAUAUUGGACAAUGGGGGAAACCCUGAUCCAGCCAUGCCGCGUGUGUGAUGAAGGCCUUAGGGUUGUAAAGCACUUUCGUUGGGGAUGAUAAUGACCGUACCCAAAGAAGAAGCCACGGCUAAAUUCGUGCCAGCCGCCGCCGUAAAAC
rnacentral:rRNA from 1 species